AGUGAGCGCUGGCGGUAGGCCUAACACAUGCAAGUCGAACGGCAGCACAGUAAGAGCUUGCUCUUACGGGUGGCGAGUGGCGGACGGGUGAGGAAUACAUCGGAAUCUACUUUUUCGUGGGGGAUAACGUAGGGAAACUUACGCUAAUACCGCAUACGACCUACGGGUGAAAGCAGGGGAUCUUCGGACCUUGCGCGAUUGAAUGAGCCGACGUCGGAUUAGCUAGUUGGCGGGGUAAAGGCCCACCAAGGCGACGAUCCGUAGCUGGUCUGAGAGGAUGAUCAGCCACACUGGAACUGAGACACGGUCCAGACUCCUACGGGAGGCAGCAGUGGGGAAUAUUGGACAAUGGGCGCAAGCCUGAUCCAGCCAUACCGCGUGGGUGAAGAAGGCCUUCGGGUUGUAAAGCCCUUUUGUUGGGAAAGAAAAGCAGCAGGUUAAUACCCCGCUGUUCUGACGGUACCCAAAGAAUAAGCACCGGCUAACUUCGUG
rnacentral:rRNA from 1 species